UAGAAUGUGGUAUAAAGGAAACACUGAGAAUUUAGAGUUCUUGGAUGUAGUUUCAAUUCCUAUUGUUCUAG
rfam:Monodelphis domestica chromosome 3, whole genome shotgun sequence.